UACGGAGGGUGCAAGCGUUGUCCGGAUUUACUGGGCUUAAAGGGUGCGUAGGCGGCUCUUUAAGUCAGUGGUGAAAGCCUGGCGCUUAACGCCAGAAUUGCCAUUGAUACUGGAGAGCUUGAGUCAAGAAGAGGUAAGCAGAAUUCAUGGUGUAGCGGUGAAAUGCAUAGAUACCAUGAGGAACUCCAAUGGCGAAGGCAGCUUACUGGGACGGUACUGACGCUGAGACGCGAAAGCGUGGGGAGCAAACAGG
rnacentral:rRNA from 1 species